GGUAACCAAGGUAACCGUCACAAUACAAUGGAUAUUGUUACAGAUGUCUAUCAGCUAAAAUGGUAACAGUGGCUGGUAACUAGGUAACUGUGGUAACCAAGUUAUACAUAGGUAACAGUGGCUGGUAACUAGGUAACUGUGGUAACCAAGUUAUAUAUAGGUAACAGUGG